ACUUAAAUAGCUUAUGUAGAGUAUGAUAUUGAAGAUAUCAGGGAAGUUAAUUUAACUUUUAAGUA
rnacentral:tRNA from 2 species